rnacentral:lncRNA from 1 species
CAAUAAAUAAACUUCCAAUUUAACUAGACUUGCCAUAAAAUGCCAACUCUAUAAAUAAUAGACUUAACACUGUUGACCAUAGCGGUUGAUCUAAUAAUUUUUUUUUUCCCCAGUGACAACACUACAUCGUCUUGCCUUUGCUUUUCUCCGGGAUCUGUCACCUCAUGGUUGAUUUAACAUUUCUCUUAUCAAUUAAAAGAGUAACAUUAAAAAAAGGUAGUUGUUAAAUUAUAUAAUUUUGUAACAUACAUCAAUCAAAUAGUUGCUAUUAAUAUAAAAAAUUAAAAUUAAAAUUAUGUGUAAAAAAAAAUUCAGCUCAGCAAAAAGUCAACAGAUAGAUGCAUAAGAAUUCUAUUCUUCUCCGCAUUAACAAGUAGCAUUCAUAUACGACCCUUCAAUAAUGAAGUUACUGUUUUCAAGCCAUUGUUCAUCAUUAUUGUGUUUGCUAAUUGGUAUCAUUGUUCAGACUGAUUUAGGCUUUCAAUGAAACUAUAUUGACUUCUAUUCCCAGCAAAUGGAUCCUGAUCUCAAAGCCGCAGUUAUGGCAAUAUAAUACUGAAUCUUUCAAGGAUAGGGGAAGAGAUGUAACUUUGAACUCGGGCAUCAGAGGACUUGAGACUGAUUGUGUAAAUAUAUUUUGUACAAACGGAACAAUUGUGACACUUUGAGGUUGUCGGAUAGGAACUGCAUAAUAAGAUUGUCCCAUUGGAACCAUUGUGAUGCUCGCGUAAAUCAAUUAAAGGUUCCUGGAGGAAUAAAGAACACGUAUCAAAAUAAGGUAAAAUAAAACCUAUAAAAGUCUAUAGUUAUUACAUGAAUGACACAUCCGGCAAUAUAAUAACAUUUAAGAAGUGAUUUAAUAAGGUACAAGAAGUUUAAGAGGCAAUUAACGUUAGAAUCACUUUUUUGUUUUUAGAGUUAAUGAACUACCAUUAUCUAGUGAGGGCAUCCUCAUUUUGUAAAUUAAUUAAUAGUGACUUUCCAAAUAAAAAGGUUCACAUGGAAAUAAAGUGCGUGUGUACAUAUAUAAAGAAUCCUCAUAUUAUUUAAUUGUUAGAUGAUCAACGCAUAGCUUGUAAAAUAAUUAAGAUCCAAAUAAAAUGGUUCGCAGAAGAAAAAAAUGUGUGUGUAUAUUAUAUCAUUCUCUAGUUAGGGCAUCUCAUUGUUAAAAUGAGAGAAAAAAACAAUAAACUCCUAAUGUUUGAGAAAAGAAAUAUAAAAAUCCCUUAACAAUUCGAAAAAGACAUAUAAGGCCUAUUUUUAUUAAGAAAUUUCAUUUGUUUUAAUAGUAAAUCUAUUUUUAAUUUAAAAUACUAUUGUGUCCCUAUAAAAAAUAAAUCAAUAUAUUGAUCUAAGACAUGUCACCAAUGAUGUGUAUAACGAAAUCAACAAUUUUCUUAUUUAAAACUUAAAAUUAAGAUGUAAUUACCUUUACCCAAAUUAUUCACUUUAAAUUAUGAAUAUACCUUUCCCAAUAAUAAUUAAGAUUAUAAAAAAAUAAUGAAUAAUAGAUAAAAUCAAAAUCAAAAUUAUUUUCUUCCAAUGCAAAUUGGGUAAAAUGAGAUAUUAAAUAAACUUAUUUAUGGAUGAAAGGUAAAUUGGAAAAAUAGGAAGUAAAAUUGAGGGACUCAUUUUCUUAAUAUAUUGAUUUAUUGUAGGGACAAUAGUAAUUAUAAAUUAAAAAUGAAUUUACUAUUAAAACAAAUGAAAUUUACUGACAAAAAUGGGGGCUAUGUGUGUUUUUUUUUUAAAUGUUAAGGAGUUUAAUGUCCCAUUUUCCAAAUGUUAGAGAGCUCAUUGUCAUUUUCCCCUAAAAUAAGUAUGCCCCACUAGUAGACAAAAUUUUACAGAUUUCGAUAUAUUUGAAACAUCUCAUUCUAAUAUUGAGUAACUCGUCAUCUAAUUUUCUAUUACCUAAUAUUAUUGUUUUUCUGAAAAUUUAAUUAUGUCUAGGAGUCUCAUAACGACAAAAUCAAUUUCGCAACGGAAGUAAAACUAACCUUACGAAAUUUCCUCAACAUAUAGCUAAUAAAUUAACAGAGAAAUUUAUUUCCUCUAAUACACAAAUUUUAACCAAUAAACCAACACAAGAGUUCAUCUCUAUGGAUACUCAACACUUAACAAAUAUCUAACACAGGAGUUCAUCUCAAUUGAUACACAUAAGUUAUAUAAAUAGCCAGACACAAAAGUCUUCAAACAAUACAUAAGAAACAAAAGUAGAACUUUGACAUCAAAAUUCUAGGAUUCAUCUCUUACUUGCUUUCCUCUAAAAAAUAGAAUUGACAAAAGGGCGAGCUAUGAUACUCAGUAAGUAGAAACAUACAUAACAAAUAGAACGGUAUCUUUGCUCAAUAUUUUCAAACAUUUAGUUUAACCUUAAGUUUAGAAUAAACACAUAAAUCUUUGUAUAGAAACUUGUUGAGCAUUAUUCUUGCUUAAAAUGAAUUCAAACUAAACCGUUUGAACUGAAUUCAAAAAUAAAAACAUUUAUCAUACGAAAACACAUCGAAAAUCAUAUAACAUGUCAAAACAAAUCGGAUCACAUAUCAUAUCAGGAGUUGUUAUAUAGGAGGCUCAUGUCAAAUCACAUAUCAUAUCAUGAGUUGUUAUAUAGGAGGCUCAUGUCAAAUAUUGUCACUUGCACCAUGGUGACCCGGCAUAAUUCGAAUCAUAUAAUUUACGCAACAUAAUGGAAUUUUAAUAGUGAAAGUCACCCGUUUUUCCCGGUGAUCCGGCCAAACAAAACAUAUCGUAUCAGAAUAUAACUAUCGACAUUGAGCACAAAUACUUAAAUUAUAUUCACAAAAUACAAACUUGAAUCUCAUAUAGUGACCCAUACGUGGCACUUCGCGGCACGUUAGCCCUCGAGAGGUGGCCCUCGUACAGCUCACACUCAUAAAUUGCAAGAUUUAAAUUCAAAGUUGUCUAAACUUGAGCAAAGACUAUUUAAACAGUUAUUUAGUUACACAAACAUAAUACAAAACUUAAUUACACUUGUACUUCGUUUACGUUAAAAUUAUUUUUAUCCAUUAGAUUUAAAAAAAAUUAAAAUCAAUGACCUAUAUUUAUUGGUUGUUUGUUACAUUAUUUGUAACAUAAACUUUGCUCUUAUUUUGAAUGCACCACCUUGACGGUCUUUCCAUGCACCUAAGAAGUUUUGUGUUUUUGAGAAAAUUUAUGUGGGCGCGUAGUGCACUCGAUUAAUAAGAAUCUAUCAUUUGGCAAGUUUGGCGGGUUUAAGGUGAAACACACUUAUUUAAAUUAUAAAAUAAUGGAUCUUACUUCGACUGUCUUUGAGACCCAAAUAAUGUGGAUGACCUAUGCAAGUCUUUCUUCUUAUUUUUAAUCUUUCUCCUCAUUUUUAAGUACAAAAUAAAGAAUGAUUUAUACCAAAUAAUAAGCCAAAAGCAUUUACUGCACAACUCAAUAUAUCUUAGGUUGUAUAAAUGACCAACAAUACUUCGCCAUUUAGAUGCAUAUACAAAGCUAUAUCUGGCUUAGAUAUUAUAAAUUAGGACAAUGCCUAAAAUUCAAACCUAAAUUAGGGCAACGACUAAACACAAAAUACAACUAUAAACACUAUAAAGAUCUAAAAUUGAAAGGAGAAUCAAAGACUUUACGCAUUAAAGUCUUAUGAAAAACUGUAGGAAUUUUAUGAGACUAGCCUACCCAUCUCAGCUAUUGUAGGUGAAAACUACCUGCCAAUCGAAAGAAGAAUUCAGUGCAUUGUCCCAACAAUGACACACACUACCACUAGUACCACAAAACUGUCACUAACAACACAACACAAACAUGAAAAUGUAUCUUAAACAAUCACUGUUUUUCUACAAAAAUAGAGUAAAUCAUUGGCGGUUUAAUUAACAUUUAUUAAGGGCUCAGAUAUUGUUUUACAAAGGCUAUUAAGAGAAAAAAAACAUCAUUGGGGACUUUAAUCACCUGAGUCCGUUAAGGGCUUGAGAGUAAAACAAACAGCCAAGACAAUAUAUAAUAGAGUUGGACUAUUGGCACCCCUCCAAAAUUCUUCUGAAACCCAUUUUUCAAUAAUGCUAAGCUUAAUACUAAAAAUACCCUUAUUUCUAAAUAAACACAUUUAAUUUGUGAAUCUUUUUAUUUUCUAUUCUUUUCUCGCUCCUCACAAACAAACUUUUAUGGGUGAUAAUUUUUUGAUAAAAAUCAAUUAAUAAAACAAAAUAUCUGUAAGAUUAUGAUGUAAAAAUUUUUAUUAUGAGCUUUAAAAAAGGCAGAUAAUUUUGUCAAAAUGUGUUUUGUUUAUUAUCAAUAGAUUAUCUUAGUAAUUGAAGAAAAAUAUAUAAAGAAUUUGAGAAAAAAAUUACAUGUAUGAGUUUGAUAGCAGAAAAAAUACAAGAUUUUUUUUUUUAAGAGAGAAAAUACAAAAGUUUGAAAUGAGAUAAAAUAAAUAUGAGACAUAUUAGAAUAUUUGUCUUUAAAUGUAAUUGUAACAUAAGAGGGGUUUUAAAAGAAUUUUACAGGAAUGCUAAUAGUCCAACUCUUUAUAAUAACAAAAUGAAUGAUUAGAAGAGCCCAUGAAUAAUAAAGCCCGGUAAGCAUUUUGGAAAAUUUACUGAGACAUAUAUAGUUAACCACAAAAUAAUGGCGUUGCAUGUCGUAUGCAAGUAUAUGAAGCAUAUAUAUUAGAAAAAUAGACAAAAACCAAAUUAUCACUUAAUUAAUUGGCAUCUAACCCAUAAGAAACUACAAGAACAAAAGAAUAAAAAAUUUUUAAAAAAUUGCUAAUCUGCAUAUAAAGAUUGUUCUGUAAGGCUGCCAAUCAUGUGUACAUUAGUGGGGAGAUAUAAGAGUUCUGUUUAUCUUGGCUGGGCUCAUUUUGUUAGAAUCAUCUUUUGGGCUUUCUAACUAGAUCACAAUUUGGAGCUCCUAACAUCCCCAUAAAAUUCUUAUGAAAUCAUAUUGUUAUAUUUAUAAUACUUACUCUUAAGAAAUUACGUAAAAAGACAAAAUAUUAAAAUAGAGUUUGUUAAAUUUUACCAUAUUUUUUAAAAAAAAUUUAUCAUUAGGUAAUUAUUUAUUCAAAAUUGUUUGAGUUUCUAUAAGAAAUUAAUUAUAUCAUAAAUUAGAAUAAUUAGCAGGUACAAAAAUAUUUUAAUUUAGUUAAAUUCAUAAUUGUCCUUCUCUAGCAAUGGAACUAGGGUCACAAAAAAAUGGGGUUUUAUAAGGAUUUUAAAGGGUGUGAAAAGCAAUGCUCUUAGGUAGCAUUUACAUUUUGAAUUAGGGUGGAAGCGAGAAUUCUAAGAUUAGAAGUAUGAAAUGAGAGUAGGAGUAGGUUGUUUACUUAUACUAGAAUAGGAGUAUGUAGGGGUGGCAAAAAAGCCCAGGCCGGCCCAAGCCCGGCCCAGCCAAGGCCCCGUCCUCACACAUGAGGGUCUGGACAAGGACCCAAGAAAAAAAGUCCGGACAAAACCCAAGCCCAUUACUUUUAAAAAAAUAAUUUUAUAAAUUAGAAUAAUAUAAUUAAAAUUGAAAAGUAAUUUAAAAAUUAAAAAAAAAAACUUAAAUUCUUAACUUAUAAAUCAAUUAUGAUUCAAAAAGACUAAAAUUAUGAUACUAAAUUCUCUCUUUUGUGUCAAUUAAUUAAGAGAGUGUUUGAAUUAGAAAGUCCAGUAUUAAAAAAAAUUAAAGUUACGAGCUUUUAUUUACUUUAUUUAUUAUUUUAAUUUAAAAUAUUCAUUUUUUUUAAUUUAUCUAUGACUGUGUUAACUACAGAACCACAAUUAAUUAUAAUUGCGUUUCAUAUUAACACAAGUAUUCGAGGACAAUAACUAGUCAAACAGAUGCCACGGCACUAGAUACCCGGGCAUGUGUACCAAACUACCAACUUCAUGAAAAAUGAUUGAACAACCCUAAAGAUCAGAUACACUUUUCUCAGUAUCAAUACUUGCACCAGACAUCAGUGACUGAGUCAUCUUUAAGAAGAAAGGCCCUGGCGUAAGGGCCCUGCCUAUUUUGGCUUUCUUUAAAAUAUAUAUAUAUAAAACUUAGUUUACUAAGUUUUAUUUCUUAAAAUUGUUGAUCAAUAAGAACUCUAAAUUUCAAUACUAACAAAAGACAGCAAAUCCUUUAUGUAGUGAAAAUAGGUUUUCAUCCUUAGCAGCUGAAGCUUCAAAACCUGUAAGUAUAAGCCUGCAAAUUAACAUUAGAAAAGGAGAGGGCUGUAGAAAGAAACAACUUUUUUCUUUGGAUAUAAUCUCCACCAUAGCAACUAUAAAAAUUAUGAUAAAAAAUUACCAAAAAUGAGAAUAGAUACAAAAGGAAGCUGGAAGUCCCCUCCUUUUCUCCAAACAAAUACAAUCAUUUCAGUUUACAACUAAGAACCAUUCUAUUAAUUUUCAACCAAUGAAAUAACCAUAUUAAAAAGUAAUUAUACCAUAAAUCCAAUAUUGAUACAGAAUUUACAAUUUAUGCUACACUGAAAUGGUCAAAUCCUUAAAAGAAAUUUGUUCAUCCUGCGUGGUAUAAGUUGUCUACAUCAUCUAUUAAUAUUAUGCCUCAUUAGUCCAUUUGGAUUACUAACCUUGAUUAUGGUAAAACUAACCACUAGAUUAUAACUUUAUAACCUAUUUAAACAAACUCAUAAAUCAGAAACUGAAACUGAAAAGACAAAAGGAUAUAAAGCAACAAAAACUUGAAGGAUUUCUUCAGGGUAACAAUUAGAACAUGGUAAGCAAUUAGUAUAACCCAUAUAGCACUGUGUAAUCACUCACCAACACUCCGAGCUUGUCCUAAACUAUGUAAUCAGUCGUUUCAUUUUAUGAGGUAGAGAAUUCCUAAAAACUUGAUGAAGAGACAACAGAAGUCAGCCCACAUAGCACCAAAAGCGAAUAAACUUCAAUUAGAAAAGAAAGCCAUGAAACCUAAAAGUAUGGAACAAAAACGUUCAUGCCAAAAUUAUGAUUAUGAAAAGCUAAUUGCAAUUCUUCUUACUUGAUCCUCCAGUUCUUGCUGAUAGGCAAUUUUUUUUUUUUUCAAUUCUAUUUCUCAGUCCAAAAUGCUCAGCCUGCAUUAAAUACAAAUCUACACAGAAUUAUAAAAAUAUCAGGUCGUAAAAUAACUCAAAAGAUUAUAUCCGCAGAAGCAGCAGCAAGGCUUCCUUGAAAGAGAACUCCAACAGAAACUGCAAAACAAGGAUAGUGUAUGGAUUGUAUUCGUUUUCAUACCUCAUAUUUGAAUAAUAGAACAUAUGCAAGCUUGUUGUUUCUGUCAGGCAUUUCAACAAAUAACUUGAAGACUCUACUUCGAAAAAUUUCAUCAAACAUCAGCAUUGAGUGCCAAUGUAGAGGACCAAGCACAGAUUUAACACAUCGGCAAAUCACUCAAAAAUAAAACCACAGACAAGGAAAUGACAUAAAUCAUCCGAUCCCAAUUUCACAAAACGAAACUACUAUUGUAGCGCACAAGUAUCAGCAAAUAAGAUCGAAGAAGCUAGAGAAACUAUAAGAUACGAACCAAAUGUAAAAGCAUCGUUACCUACUGUUAUGGCCGCACGUCGGCUAUCAGCUCAGGCGGUCAGAUUUUUCACUGGUGACGAAGCUAAUCAUUUGACUGAUAUUUAGGCUUUGAGCAAUAAUAUAGCCAUAAUUGGACUGUAGGAUUAAAUAUUUCUUAAUCCACAUUAUUUAUUUAUUUAUUUUAUAUAUUUAUUUAAUUAAUAAAUUAAUUAAUAUAAAAUAAAUUUAUUUAAUAUUUUGUAACUGUAUCAUCACUCUUAAAAUUUGAGGAUUAA